AAAGAAAAGCGUCUGGACUUCUUUUCAAGUAACUUAAAGAAAACCCGACGCUUUUCUUUGC
rnacentral:pre_miRNA from 1 species